GAGGGUUGAUUCAGGGAAAUUGUAUUUGUUUGCUGAACUGUAAAUUAAACAGGUUCCAGGCUUCCACUCCUUCACAUCUGCAUCUCUGUAGCUGCGUAUGGAAUUUGUUCUCACUGGAUGCCAGUAAAGAACAUCCAAGGAGAACUCAAACACAGAAAAACAACUUCCUGCUUCCUCCAGAAGUCCAGCUCUUGGAGCAAUGGGAUAAGCAGGCCAGGGCCUUGGCUCUCCUGUUGCUGCUGCCCUUCUACCUGCCGACCGGCACUGGUGCUUCCCCCUGUGGCCCUGCAUGAUGUGCGGUGCACCUGGUUUCCAGGACCUACCCUUCCCCAGAUGAUGGUAUCUUGAUUUUAGUGAGGAGUUAUAGGAAGGGAGGGGAGGACCCUGCCUACCUGCCUGGAGCUCUCCAAGCCAGACGCCAACUUCCACGCCUCGCAGAAAGAAGGCUCCAGGCUCUACACAAGCACAGCGCUCCAGCACCACGAGUUUUGCAGGCCCCAACCCACAGUUGCUGAAGCCGCUGCUAGGGCAAUGAAGACGGAGACGCUUCUUAAAAAAAACUUUACAAAAUUAUUUUAAUUACUGUGUGGACCUUGUAACUCGAUCAAGGCACAGUCAUCUGUACUCUCCUGCAGCAAAUAUUCUUGAAAUCCCACCAGUGUA